rnacentral:tRNA from 1 species
AAUAAAUUGCCGGAUUCAAGGGUUACUUUGAUAGAGUAAAUUAUAUAAUUUUUUUUAAUUA